GGCUGCUGCUGCUGCUGCUGCUGCAGUUGUUGUUGCUGCUGCAGCUGUGCCUGAUGCUGCUGCAGUUGUACCUGCUGCUGCU
rnacentral:sRNA from 1 species